CCUACGGGUGGCAGCAGUGGGGAAUAUUGGGCAAUGGGCGCAAGUCUGACCCAGCAACGCCGCGUGAAGGAAGAAGGCUUUCGGGUCGUAAACUUCUUUUGUCAGGGACGAAGCAAGUGACGGUACCUGACGAAUAAGUCACGGCUAACUACGUGCCAGCAGCCGCGGUAAUACGUAGGUGGCAAGCGUUAUCUGGAUGUACUGGGAGUAAAGGGCGUGUAGGCGGGACUGCAAGUCAGAUGUGAAAACCACGGGCUCAACCUGUGGACUGCAUUGGAAACUGUAGUUCUUGAGUACUGGAGAGGAGGGCGGAAUUCCAGGUGUAGCGGUGGAAUGCGUAGAUAUAAGGAAGAACACCAGUGGCGAAGGCGGUCUGCUGGACAGCAACUGACGCUGAGGCGCGAAAGCGUGGGUAGCAAACAGGAUUAGAUACCCCAGUAGUC
rnacentral:rRNA from 1 species